UAUAAUCUAGUGGACGGAACGCUUAUUUCAACAGCAGCAACAGUUUGUCAGACACCUCGGUAGCUUGCUAGACAAAAUAGGCAAACCAAUUAAGCUCUUUAGACGCUUUAGUGUGUAUUAGCCACUGUGUUUUAAACCCACUUCUGUCGUCUAGUUAGUUAUCAGAUUUAAUUUCAUAUUUACGGUGUGUUGUUAUUAGUCAGCUAGCGGGCUGGUUAAGUUAGCAUUGGCCUAGCUAACAUCCCCGACCAUGAGGUCACUAAGCUACUCCUUCUGCUAAAGAAGCGGUGGUCUGCUGGACGGAGGAAUAAGUUAUCGUGAAAGAGGAGGAAGAGGAGACUGUUUCAAUUCAAAAACAAGUAGAGGGUAAGGCUGUUACAGUGAAAGAAGAGAGAGAGGAUGAUGCUGUUUUUGGAGUGAAAGAUGAGAUGACUGUCACAUCAAAAAAGGAGGAGGAGGAAACUGGAUGUCUGGGUCCGUUUUCCCAAAUGCAUCUUAAGACAUCCAAUGGUUCUAACGCUGAACGGGCCCUGAUUAACACUAGAGAGAGACGGGACUAUCGCGGGUCCUCUGGGGAGUCUCAACAACAUCAUGAUGCUGACGAGACAGAGAAGAGUCUCUCCACAUCAGAACUGCUCAAGAAACACCAGCAGAGACCCACAGGGAAGACAUCUCAUUACUGCUCUGACUGUGGGAAACGUUGCAAAUCUUCAUCAGAACUUAAAAUACACCAGCGAGUACACACAGGAGAGAAACCUUAUAGCUGUGAUCAAUGUGCGAAGAGUUUCACUCAGUCAAGCUCCCUGAAAUCACACCACAGAACACACACUGGAGAGAAACCUUUAAUCUGUGAUCAAUGUGGGAAGAGUUUUACUCAGCUAAGCAGCCUGAUAGUACACAGGCGGGGACAUACAGGAGAGAAACCUUAUAGCUUUGAUCAAUGUGGGAAUAGUUUUACUACAUCUAGCUAUCUAACUAUACACCAGAGAAUACACACAGGAGAUAUAUCUUAUGGCUGUGAUCACUGUGGGGAGAGUUUUAUUCGGCUACAAACCCUGAAAUCACAGCAGAGAACACACACAGGAGAGAAACCUCAUAGCUGUAAUCAAUGUGGGAAGAGAAACAUCAGAAAAUACUUGAAGGAGCUGUUUCAUGAUAUCAAUUAAUUAAUGUCACAAUGUAGAAUGUCUUAACAUUGUAGUAGGAGUAUUUUAAUGAUGUCAGAAUGAACCCUAAACAUUUGUUAAAUUGAUAUUAGCCUCAAGGAAAAAAUCCAGUCUCUGAAUUGAAAGAGUAUUAUCUAUGAGAUUUAUCAAAAAGUGACUAACAAAAAAAGAGUUCUGUUACAUUUAACAUGUUGGUGACCCCCUUGAAUCAAAAUACAACACUUCGAAAUGUUUAGGUUUUCAAUAUAUCCCAAACUGUUUCUACAUAUUGGUUAUUGAUUUGGACACGUUAAAACUGUGUUUUGACAUUGCGCUAUUCCCACUUAGCAAAAUGUAAUUCAAAAGACGUUGGAAAUAAGACUAUGCCUGACAUCCAAUAUAUGUUGGUUGUAGUUAAAAGUGAAAGUUGAAAAGAUGUCUUUUCAGGUCGUUUUUUCAAUGACUUGAAAACAGCUUAAUUUCAAUGUACUUGCAGCUUAUACACAUGGAUGCAGUAUAAUCAUGGUCAAUAAUCAUUUUGAUUAACAAUCCUACAUCACUCCAGUAUUUCUUGACAACAUUCAAGUGCUAAUUGUCAUUAUUCCACUACUAAAAGAAGCAUGACUCAAAUCACCUCAUAUUUCAUUUCCACAUAUUUGCUUCCCUAUUAGAGAUUAGUUUUGUUUGGGCUUGUUCCAAUGGGACGAGAGUUCUAGAAGCUAGUGAGUUUUAGGAUUCUAAAAAAUGAAAAAGUAUGUUUUUUUUCUUGUUUUUAGCAAGUUGUUUUCUGUUGGUGGUGAGCAAACUUGUUCAACAAAAAUAUAGGAUAUAUUUGUUGUCUUACGGGGGAAGGUGUUGCAGGCUUUGGUUUUUCCAUUUAUGUUUUGAGGUUGGACUUUAGCACGUCUAACUCGUUAGCACGUUGGGCGCACAGAUUGGUGUCACCUCGUUAGUCAGUAUGUGUUACACCUGUGCUGGCUUGUCCAUCUUGUUAGUGGGAAGGUGUUUCACCUGAGGUGGUCCAGGUUCUAUUUAAGAGUGUCUGGCCCAGUGCUCCAGUUGUCUUGAUAGAUGUGGAGAGUCAACACAUUUAGUUGCUCCACUUUUUUGGUUUACUUCCUGUCUGUAAGUUUGUUGUGGGUUUUUCUUUUGUUUUCCUCUUCUUGGGCAGAUUUAGUGGGUCUCAUGAUAGGUGUCUUGUAUGUCCCAGUUGUUGUUACUAGUCAACUUUCAGUGGACACAGAGCAAAACUGCAAGAUUGUUAUAAUACUUUUAUUGCAUUAAAUGGUUGUUUUAUGCAACAGAAUAGAGGGUUCUUAGAACUAUUGUGCCUGUGUGUUCUACUGAGGAUGGGCCUCUGGGAGAUAACACUGACAGGAGAUUUACAAUGUCUUUUGGGCGAUAACCUAAAGAGACCGCAUUCCAGAGCAUGAGUUAAUGUUUCUGUUCUAUAUGGUACCAGGGAGAGAUGACCCCAGGGCCAGACCCUGGUCUCUACACAAAGAGUACUGUUUUUACAUCAGAUACUGUCUGCUGAGAAUUAUAACUAUCUUUCAUACAAAUCUUAUCUUUGUGACCCGUUCUAUACAUCUGUUAGUCGUCAUGUAGGUUGAAAGGGGUGUAUCUUGGCAUAUGUCAUGAAUACUUGAACCAGGUUAUGUAGACAGACAGUGCAACCAAUGACAAUAGUGAGGGGUGUGUCAUAAUGAUUAAGUUAAUUCAAAUUAAUUAGUGAAAUUGCUAGGGACGUCCCAAGGAUGUAUCUCUACCUGAAAAUACAUGAUCUAAAUGAUUGAUAGUUGGUAUUCAGCAGUCAUAAAGCCUAAAUUACUUUAAUGAACUACUAAAAUAGUGAUUUUGUCAGACAGCAUAGACCGCAGCUCUACACUUUUUUGACUGACUGAUCCAGUCAUCCUUCCAUCCCACCUCAGCCUUCCUCUCCUCUGAAGACCCAGUGAGGGUGGAGCUCAGUCAGAGAGCUGUUGAUGGACUGGUUAGGAAUAACUCUUCUACAGUCAGAGAGGUGAGAGGUCACAUAUGGUUUAGAUGGUAAAUAUUUAUGUCCCCUUAGCGGUUCAUCACGACAGCAAAAGGGAAUAUGUUCCAUCAUCUAUGUUUAUUUACAUGAGUGCAAAUUUUCCACUGAUAUUGGUGUAGUUUCUCACCCCUGUCAGCUGUAUGAAAGUUAAUUUCCCCUCAGACACACAUUUGUUCUUUGUUAUUAUGAAGGUCAUUUUUGUCUGUUUUUCCCACCACUAAUUCACCCCAUCUCUUUACAUUGCUUACGCAUAUUCAGUGGCCUGACCGUGUCCAGACUGUGUCAAAGGCCCAUCCUGGUAGAUCUGAACCUAAUGCAGCUCUGAGUGAUCAGAUGACAGAAGUCACAUUUAGGUGCCAGGUGUAACUGAGGCUGUAGAUGCUCCAUAUCCAUUACUUUGAGUUUUUAUAUAAUAUGACUAAAUGUGUUUCUGUGUUGCAGGAGCAGUCAAGAAAUGGAACGGCAAGGCCACAGAACAUGACAUAAGCAGAGCUGUGGGAGACCACCUCAAGCCCUUGGUAGAGCCGGGGGUGGUGUUUACCACUCCACCAUGCCUUCAGCAGGCUGGAAAAGGGGGAUUGGUCUGUUUUUCAUACUAAGAUGGACCAAGAUACGUGUUGCUUUUACACAUAUUUGUUCAUUGGUUUGACAUGAGUCUCGAUUGGUCAUUGGAACGAUUUGUCUUACAAUAUGUUCGAAUCAAAUCAAGCUGUAUUUAUACAGUACAUUUCAGACAUGGCUGCAACACAAAGGCUUCAUGGGGAAAAAACAAAUAAAAACCAAUGAAAAAACAGAAAUAUUUAGUACACAAACAUAAGAUUUUAAAAAAACCAUAAGACUAAACUGGAAGACUAAUGAGCACCUCACUGGCAGCGUCGCCGGAACCUAAAAGACGCACAUCGCCAUCUGCUGACUGGAGUGGGUAAUGCAGUUGAGGAACGAAAAUUGUAUUUUUCAUUUAUUUCACAAAAGGUUAAUAUUAUAUUAAGUUGUUCAAAGAGAAGCAUGUGUUGAUUGAUUCGUGUUUAAUGAGUGAGUAUUUAAAACAAACUUUACACCCACUACACAUUUGCAUUGCAUACUUCUGACAUGGAUCAUUUUGACCCCAGAGGCAUAUCUUUUAUCAUAGCCAAAAAUGUGGUUUAUUCAAUUCUUCCAAAUUUUUCGACUUUGUCAAUCAACUUGUUAUUAAUACAUUUAAAUAUGGUUUAGUGUUUGUAUCAAUAUGGACUUUUAACACAUUCAAAUCCUUUGGUCAUUUUGACCCCAGCCAAAAGCACAUUUGAUAAAGAGGACGUUUAUAUCAAA